GGUGGCAAAGGGGUUAAGCAGUUGGCUGCUAACCAAAAGGUCGGUGGUUCAAACCCACCUGUCGCUC
rnacentral:tRNA from 1 species